CCCGCCUCUCCUUCCUACCCCCCGCCCAAUGCCUUCCCCGGGCAGUGACUUCACAUCCUUUGACAUCAGCACGGCUCUGAAAGGGGGAUGGGAGAGCGAGCAGAAAGCAGAAAAACCAGCUUUGAACUAUGCAUGCAAGGCCUCUCUCAAGACUCAAAUUCUCAAUCCCGGACACCUGCACUGAGCUCUGGCUCUCUGCCCUGCAGUGCGGAAGGCGCUGGAAUACACCUGUAGAGAUGACAAGCUUCCUGCUCCAAUUUCAUACGUGAUGAAAAUUGACUGCAGAAGACCCACUGCUAUGAAUGUAAGGCUCCAGAUUCUGUGUGCUCAUCUCCAGCCUGCUCCGUGACAACUAGGCUGUCCCACGACGUGCAGUUGACAUGCAAGGUGAGGAGCAUUGCCAGCACUCAAGCAGAGGCGGUGGAUGAGUGUGAGGGCACACGCAGCAGAGCCGGGGGUCCCCUGUCAUCCGUGCAGGCUAACGGGUCGAGCUUGCCCAGGAGCCCUGUGGAGCUUGGCUGUGCUCAGCCCCAGCAGUGACGGCUGACAGCCACAGAGGUGAGUGUCCGCUGUCAAGAUUCUUUGUGCAACACACUCCCUCCUCCCACACUCUCCUGUCUGCUCAAGGAUGGACUCUGUAUGUGCACACAGGCUCUUUUAAAAAGCCCAUCAAACUCGUCCUAGAAACACGACCCUGCCAAUCCCCUUCCGAUUACAGAGCGCCAAAGAGACACACUGACUUGAGUCCCCAACUAUAUGCUCUCAUCCUUGAAUGGGAUUUUUACUAAGAAGUGAGAGCUGCUUUAUUUUUUAAUAAGGUGCUUAAGGAUAUUUGGAAAGAGUUUUCCAAGAAGCCAUACUGCCACGCACAGACAGAACUCUGAACCGUGAGCCAGGGCCUGGGUUCCCUUUCCUCCUACAGCCAACAGUUCCUUCCUCGAAAUGUGCUUUCUUGGGCUCUGACCGCGAUGUCUGUCGUUCUUUCCACCUAAUCAUGAAAGCGUGGGUCUUUCUUCCUUACAAACACCAUCCAUAACUCUCCUGUUCCACGGAAUUCCCCAAGUUAAAACCAUCCUGCACAGCUUUCUCUAGAUGCCCCCAGAAAGCCCUAGCGGUUACUCCACAGUCUCAAACAGCCCCUCCUAGGAGACGUACUCGUUUCCAAUGUUGUUACAGACACACACGUCCCGCACACUAAAGUCCGUUUCCUUUUUAUUCUCCUGUAAUGCCGAACCCAGUGCCAUGCACAUAAUGACCGUGACAAACAGCUGGGUACAGACAUGAGCAAAAACAACAGCGCUGCUCCUACCCAGACAGGAGAAUGGACUGUGCGUCUUACCGAACGAAGCUUUUUGCACUAGGACUGGGUGAUCCGGCCAAUACACGGAGCAGACCGAGGCCAGGGGUAUCGACAGCCACCACAGGGCGCACGCUGAGGUGGAGAAGACGAAGAUGACACUGUCGCCGGAGUUUGGGAAGCAGCCCUUCCCAGCAUCAGCUGUUCUCAAACCUGAGGGAGAAGCACGGCCCGGGGAGUCUCCGCUCCACACGACAGACUGACAGCAAGACGCAAGGCUGUUACCAAAAUGCUGGGCCAAACCAGAUGGCAUCACUCCCUGACCUGGGCAGGUGCCCAACAUUCAAGGAAACACUGAAGACUUUCUCGAGUUGCGAUCUGUCAGAGGAAUUUUCCCUGUGACUUAGGAAAAUGUCCCCAUGACAUGCUGGUGCAGACUGACUCUUCCAGCUCCCCACACGCAGGUGGAAACCUCGCCACCACCGUGGGGCAGGGCUCAAGGCUUGCAUUCCCCCGCAGCUGCUUCCACGAACUGGAACACUUUACAUGAUUUCACGUAAGUCGCUUGAAGGACUCUUUCUAGAACUACACAUCAUGUAACGGAGCUUUUAUUUAAGACGGACAGGGAUGCUGACUGAUCUUAUCUGCCAGCUUACCUGCUACACACACGCCACAUCCAACACACACUCAGGAACUCCACAAUUUAAUGGCGAUCCUGUGUUUGCUUAGAUGCUUUCAGACAUCUGACUUCCUCACUCAAAGCUCCAGGUGGCUCUUAACAAGAAUGUGCUCCAUCUUGUCCCAUCUAUUCAGCGGCUGCAAGUGUGACUGACUGCGGGGGGGAAGUUACUCCCAAGUCUCCUGAAUGUCCAAGCUCAACAGAUGUGACACUUCACAAGUAACAGAAAACAGUGCUUCACGAGUAAGGACAAUAGCAUACUCUUUAUCUUACCAGUGCUUGCACAGGAGAGACGCUCAAAACAAACCUUUCUCUCUCUCUCACAGGGAAAUAAAGGCUGUCCAAGGCACUAUACAUAAUAAAUAGUUGGUGCAGCAAAUGACUGCUAUUCAAACUGAAAAUAUGGAAAAAAUACGCUCCAAGAUGGUGAGAAAAACCUUCCUUUAAAUUUUAGAAAAAAUGAACUUGAGUUGGAGCUAAAAAGAUGAAAGGAUUCAGAUAAGCAAGAAAGAGGAUGGGAAAAAGUAUUCUACAACAGUUCUCAAAGUGGGGUCCCUUAGGCCCCUUCCGGGAUCUACUAUUUUUAUGAUAACACCAAGACACGCUUUGCCUUUGUAACCAUUGUUAGGUUGAUUUUUCACAGGCUACCAGAGACGUGGUAUCAAAACAGACUGAAUGCAGGCGCAGACUUGAGAGGCCAGCUGUCUUUUAUUAAGCCAGACAUUAAAGAGAUUUGCAAAAAUAUAGAGCAAUGCCAUUUUUUCCGUGAACUUUUGUAAAUCGUUUUCUCAUAAAAAGACUCUAGGGCUUCCCUGGUGGCGCAGUGGUUGAGAGUCCGCCUGCCAAUGCAGGGGACGCGGGUUCUUG